rnacentral:rRNA from 1 species
CAUGCAAGUCGAACGAGAAGGGGGCUUCGGUCCCUGGAAAGUGGCGCACGGGUGAGUAACGCGUGGAUAAUCUACCUAGCGGUCUGGGAUAACAUCUCGAAAGGGGUGCUAAUACCGGAUAAGCCCACGAGGUCUACGGAUCUAGCGGGAAAAGGGGGGGACCUUCGGGCCUUCUGCCACUGGAUGAGUCCGCGUACCAUUAGCUAGUUGGUGGGGUAAUGGCCCACCAAGGCUACGAUGGUUAGCUGGUCUGAGAGGGUGAUCGGCCACACUGGAACUGAGACACGGUCCAGACUCCUACGGGAGGCAGCAGUGAGGAAUAUUGGUCAAUGGGCGCAAGCCUGAACCAGCCAUCCCGCGUGAAGGAAGACGGCCCUAUGGGUUGUAAACUUCUUUUGUACAUGAAGAAAGGGACCUACGGGUAGGUUCGUGACGGUAAUGUACGAAUAAGCACCGGCUAACUCCGUGCCAGCAGCCGCGGUAAUACGGAGGGUGCAAGCGUUGUCCGGAUUUAUUGGGCGUAAAGCGUGCGCAGGCGGUUUUUUAAGAUAGGCGUGAAAUCCCCGGGCUCAACCUGGGAACUGCGCUUAUGACUGGAAGACUAGAGUAUGGCAGAGGGGGGUGGAAUUCCACGUGUAGCAGUGAAAUGCGUAGAGAUGUGGAGGAACACCGAUGGCGAAGGCAGCCCCCUGGGCCAAUACUGACGCUCAUGCACGAAAGCGUGGGGAGCAAACAGGAUUAGAUACCCUGGUAGUCCACGCCCUAAACGAUGUCAACUGGUUGUUGGGAAGGUUCCUUCU